GUAGCUGCUCUACCUUUUGGCCAAGAUCAAAUGUAGCAUCUAUUCUUGUCUGUUUAGCCUCUGACGUAUUUCCUCUCCAAGGACAAUGUAUUAAAUGGACAUUUGGAGCAGAGAUGCGAUAGGAGCCUGGCCCCCCUCUCCAUGCACAGACCUGGCACUGCAUGACUCCCAGUGAUGGCACACCUCUU
ensembl:snRNA U2 U2 spliceosomal RNA